AUUGAACGCUGGCGGCAGGCCUAACACAUGCAAGUCGAGCGGAUGAAGAGGGCUUGCUCUCUGAUUUAGCGGCGGACGGGUGAGUAAUGCCUAGGAAUCUGCCUGGUAGUGGGGGAUACCGUUCCGAAAGGAACGCUAAUACCGCAUACGUCCUACGGGAGAAAGCAGGGGACCUUCGUGCCUUGCGCUAUCAGAUGAGCCUAGGUCGGAUUAGCUAGUUGGUGAGGUAAUGGCUCACCAAGGCGACGAUCCGUAACUGGUCUGGGAGGAUGAUCAGUCACACUGGAACUGAGACACGGUCCAGACUCCUACGGGAGGCAGCAGUGUGGAAUAUUGGACAAUGGGCGAAAGCCUGAUCCAGCCAUGCCGCGUGUGUGAAGAAGGUCUUCGGAUUGUAAAGCACUUUAAGUUGGGAGGAAGGGCAGUAAGUUAAUACCUUGCUGUUUUGACGUUACCGACAGAAUAAGCACCGGCUAACUUCGUGCCAGCCGCCGCGGUAACAC
rnacentral:rRNA from 1 species